GCCGUUUAUAUACUGCUUCACCCUUAGCAUUUCUAACAAGCUGCAUGGCUCACUGGUAGAGCAUAUAUUUUGCACCCCAAUCUGAUUAUUUGGCAUCACUCUGAGAGUUUAUAGUAGCUGGCUGUGUGUGUUUUACAAUAUUCAUCAGGAGAGGAGCUGGAGAGAGAGGGCAAAACUGCCCUUUGGUCCAGUCCCUAUCACAAUUCAAUUCCCCCCGCCAUGGUUGCUACUUAAAUAAACAGCAAACAGGAUAUAAAAUGCAGACAUACACUUCAUGUACGGUCCAGCUUGGCAAUUACUGUAAGUCACCUCCUUAUCUGGAAUAGAGCAUGUUCAGGUUUCUUUCACUUCCACAUGAACCUAGUGAAAUUUCCCUCUUAAAUUUCCAUAUUAAUGAAAGCUGAACCAUGCAGGAAAUUCUUCUUCUGUAACUGAUUGUCCAGAAACAUGGCCUUACUUUGCAUAAUGAUUACUCUAGGUUGGAAAUGGACAGCAGUUUUAAGAGCUGAAGGUGGAAUGAGAGAGAGGCAUGGUCCUUUUGGUCUCAGGGGUUAAACAGUUUUGGCAGGUAUCUGAAACCCUCUGCAAACCUGUUUAUGAGAGAUGACUUAUGGCAGUGGUGAGGAAUCUUUGGUCUUGGCCUGCUGAAGGGUCCAAUGUGGCCUGUGAGGCUCUUUCUCUAAAACCACACCUACCUGUCAUUGUGUGAUGUCAGCUGAUGGAUGGGACUCAGUCCUGCAUUGGCUGCGCCUGCCAGCUCCCUAUAGGGAACUGACACACACAGGGAAAGCAGAAGACUUUAAUCCUCCACUCAUUGGCUGAUGAGUGGAGGUUAAAUCCUACUCAGGCCCCUGCAAGGGAGCAGGACUGAACUCUCCCCUCAUCUGCUGAUGAGCAAAACAUUGAAUCCUGCCAGGUGUUUCUUUGCCAGCACAUUCCCUGAGGGAAAUGCGCUAGCUAAACAGAAGCCUCCCUCCAAAGGAUGCAAGGUGACUUUUGACAGGUGGGUGGGACCGCCCACCUAUCAGUCACCUGCUGGCAUCAUGAUGUCAGAUGAUUGAUAGGUGGGUGGCUCCAUUCACCUGUCAAAGUUGGUCAGCGGUGAUGGUGGCAGUGGAAGAUCAGGAUCUGGCCCACUGUGCCAAGAAAAUUCCCCGUUCCUGGUGAACAGGGUACCAAAAAUGCCGCCUGUUUCUCAUGCCACCUUCAACCCUACAACAUUUGAAUCUGAAAGGUUGGGGUUGAGGAAUUAGAAGAAGAAGAAAAUGGAAAAGAUACAAUCCCAAAACCCUUGAAAACAAACAUUACAUACUUAUUAUCUAGUACUUCCCCCACCCACCCGCAGCUUCCCUCUGCCACAAUUCGACUUCUUUAAAUCUCUAUCUCCACAUUUAUCUUUGCAUUUUCCAAAUAUAUCAUUCUUUGUACAUCUUUUAUCUCUUUUCUUUUCUGAUUCAUACAUAUACUUCACAUUUUUUAUUCUAGGCAUAUCAGCACAUCUUUCUUAGAACAAUAUUUUAACAUGUAAUCUUCGAAACAUUUCC